rnacentral:lncRNA from 1 species
UUGCAUGAGUUAGCAUUCCCUUCUCGGGCUUUCGCUCCAGGAAGUGCAGAAGCUGUAGCACUGCCUAAUCCUGGAGAUUAUCACUGGAGGAAAGGUGGUGAGGUUCACUUGAAUGAUCCUCUUGCUAUAGCAAAGCUGCAAGAAGCUGCCAGGAGUAACAGCGUUGCUGCCUACAAGGAAUAUGCCAAACGUAUCCAUGAAUUGAAUAAAACCUGUAACCUGCGUGGUAUGUUGAAGUUUAAGGAGUCAGAAGCCAAAAUUCCAUUGGAUGAGGUGGAACCUGCCAGUGAAAUUGUGAAAAGGUUUUGUACUGGGGCCAUGAGUUAUGGAUCAAUAUCAUUGGAGGCACACGCAACCCUGGCUAUUGCUAUGAAUACACUUGG